rnacentral:hammerhead_ribozyme from 1 species
AUGCAUCUGACGAGUCCAAAAUAGAACGAAACACGCAUCCUGGAU